CGCAUCUGUGCAUGCAGCAUAUCAAUAAGCGGAGGAAAAGAAACUAACAAGGAUUCCCUUAGUAACGGCGAGUGAAGCGGGAAGAGCUCAAAUUUGAAAUCUUCAGGUUUUACCUUGACGAAUUGUAGUUUAAAGAAGUGUUUUCUGUUGAAGUUUUGGUAAAAGUUCUUUGGAAUAGGACAUCAUAGAGGGUGAGAAUCCCGUAUUUGACCAUUAUUUUCAGCUGUGUGAUACACUUUCAAAGAGUCGGAUUGUUUGGGAAUGCAGUCCAAAAUGGGUGGUAAAUUUCAUCUAAAGCUAAAUAUUGGCGAGAGACCGAUAGCGAACAAGUACCGUGAGGGAAAGAUGAAAAGAACUUUGAAAAGAGAGUUAAACAGUACGUGAAAUUGUCAAAAGGGAAGCGUUUGACACCAGUGUUGUUUUCUCGAAAAUCAAUUAAAAAGAGUUAGAUUUUGUUGUGUAUUGACCUUAACAGCUUGCAUUUCAAUUUUCUUGCUUUUUUAAUGCACUUUUCGUUUAACAAGUCAACAUCAGUUUCUUUUGUUGUAAAAAGGUCAUUGGAAGGUGGCUUUCUUUUCGGAGAAAGUGUUUAUAGCCUUUGACUCCUGCAAUCGGAGAGACUGAGGUCUGCAGCGUAGAUCCUUCGGGGUUAGAUACAUUUGUGCUAAGUUAUAGCUUUUUAUAGACAACUUGUUGACUAUGAUUAGUCUUGUAGCUUACUCGCUUAUGCUAUUUUACCUACGCUUAGGAUGUUGACACACGCGCGUGCUCG
rnacentral:rRNA from 1 species